rnacentral:miRNA from 10 species
GAGGCAGGAGAAUUGCUUGAACCCAGGAAGUGGAGGUUGCAGUGAGCUGUGAUCGUGCCACUGCACUCCAGCCUGGGUGACAAAGGAAGACUCCGUCUCA